rnacentral:lncRNA from 1 species
UUGAGAAAGUUAUUGGAAAUGUUGAGAUGAUGCUGUGGAUGAAAUUUGGUGGCCGUAGGAGGAGUUGGCCACCGCAUGAAUAGUGCGACGGGUGAAUAGUGCGGUGUAUGAACAAGCUUGUAUAUGAAGUUUGGUGAGGAUUGGUGGAGUUUUGAAUCGGUUAUAAAUUUCUAAAGAUUUGGAUUUCGAUUAAUGUUAAUCGUGAAUCCGGUUAUCGGAUUUCCUCCAUAAUUGUUAUAUAGUUUGAAAUCGACGAGUGGGCAGUGUUGGUGAAGUUUGGUUGGAUGUG